AACGAACGCUGGCGGCAUGCCUAACACAUGCAAGUCGAACGAGACCUUCGGGUCUAGUGGCGCACGGGUGCGUAACGCGUGGGAAUCUGCCCUUUGCUUCGGAAUAACAGUUAGAAAUGACUGCUAAUACCGGAUGAUGUCUUCGGACCAAAGAUUUAUCGGCAAAGGAUGAGCCCGCGUAGGAUUAGGGUAGUUGGUGGGGUAAAGGCCUACCAAGCCGACGAUCCUUAGCUGGUCUGAGAGGAUGAUCAGCCACACUGGGACUGAGACACGGCCCAGACUCCUACGGGAGGCAGCAGUGGGGAAUAUUGGACAAUGGGCGAAAGCCUGAUCCAGCAAUGCCGCGUGAGUGAUGAAGGCCUUCGGGUCGUAAACUGCUUUGUUACGGAACGAAACGGUGAGCUCUAAUACAGUUUGCUAAUGACGGUACCGUAAGAAUAAGCACCGGCUAACUACGUGCCAGCAGCCGCGGUAAAGUGACUACU
rnacentral:rRNA from 1 species